UACGGAGGGUGCGAGCGUUGUCCGGAAUCACUGGGCGUAAAGGGCGCGUAGGCGGCAUGCCAAGCGUGUGGUGAAAGCCCGGGGCUCAACCCCGGGUCGGCCGUGCGGACUGGCGUGCUCGAGCACUGUAGGGGCGGGUGGAAUUCCCGGUGUAGCGGUGAAAUGUGUAGAGAUCGGGAGGAACACCGGUGGCGAAGGCGGGUCUCUGGGCAAUUCCUGACGCUGAGGCGCGAAAGCGUGGGGAGCAAACGGG
rnacentral:rRNA from 1 species